UACGAAGGGUGCAAACGUUGCUCGGAAUUAUUGGGCGUAAAGCGCACGUAGGCGGCUUUUCAAGUCCCAUGUGAAAUCCCACGGCUUAACCGUGGAAGUGCAUGGGAAACUGGAAAGCUUGAGUACUUAAGAGGAUCGCGGAAUUCCCGGUGUAGAGGUGAAAUUCGUAGAUAUCAGGAGGAACACCGGUGGCGAAGGCGGUUCUCUGGGCAUGUCCUGACGCUGAGGAGCGAAAGUGUGGGGAGCGAACAGG
rnacentral:rRNA from 1 species